CCUACGGGUGGCAGCAGUGAGGAAUAUUGGUCAAUGGACGAGAGUCUGAACCAGCCAAGUAGCGUGCAGGAUGACUGCCCUAUGGGUUGUAAACUUCUUUUAUAUGGGAAUAAACUGUUCCACGUGUGGGAUUUUGUAUGUACCAUAUGAAUAAGGAUCGGCUAAUUCCGUGCCAGCAGCCGCGGUAAUACGGAGUAUCCGUGCGUUAUCCGGAUUUAUUGGGUUUAAAGGGAGCGUAGGUGGAUUGUUAAGUGUGUUGUGAAAUUUCGCGGCUCAACCGUAAAAUUGCAGUGGAAACUGGGAGUCUUGAGUACAGUAGAGGUGGGCGGAAGUCGUGGUGUAGCGGUGAAAUGCUUAGAUAGCACGAAGAACUCCGAUUGCGAAGGCAGUUCACUGUACUGUAACUGACACUGAGGCUCGAAAGUGUGGGUAUCAAACAGGAUUAGAUACCCGGGUAGUC
rnacentral:rRNA from 1 species